CGACACUCGAAUUUGCAUCGUUCAUGAUUCUAAAAGAAGCCUUGAAUUUUCACACGUACGCAGUUUUCGCCUAUCGCGAUUUGUUUUAAUUAAAGCAAAAUGCCUAAUUUACAUAUUCUGCACUAUAGGAAAUACGCUUUAUACAAGGCACAACGGUUCGAUACAAAAUCUGUCUAAAGGAAAAAAAAUCAAUACGAGAACGGUUAUAGUAUUUAAAACGACCGAAUUAUAUACCAAAUUAUAAACUUUCUCCUUGUUUUUCUCCAUGUUGCAAAUAACCGUACGAGCAGUUGAUGCAAUUGUAAACGAUAUAGGAUUAAAGAAAGAUGUUAUAUUUGAAGAGAACAAAGAAGAAACAGACAAUAAAAUGGCAGAGAAUCGGUUUAAAAAUUUCAACGGCCAUUUCCAUAUAGCUAUAGCAUGGACAAGUGUAUUUGAUAUAAAAUGAUUUGUGUCCUCGCGAAAGUGUUACGUAAAUGAAAGCUAUAAAGCAUUAAGAAGCUGUGAUCGUGAUGUAAACACUGAGAAAUUGCUCUAACCACGCAUCUUUGUGAUUGACAAAAAAAAAAUCGUUAAAUAUUGCAUUCCAUUCACAAAGUCGGGAUAUGCUUGGUCGACAAAGGAGCACAAAAAUAAGCAGCUCUGUGACACUGCGCUCCACGCGAGGCCAAAAACCUUUUCGUUGUUCAUGUCCGUCCAACGAGGCAAUGUUUGUAUCAAGGGCUACUUUGUGCAUUAUUGGAGGAAUUGCAACUCCGACUAACCAACACGUCGCAGCUCAAUGUCACUCAGCUCUGCGCGGAUGAUUCACAUUUGGUAUAAUAAUGGCGAGAUCGACAUGUUAUUUCCUCUAACGUGCAACUACAGCAGCAGCUUUUGAACUUACGUUUAAUGUUUCGACAUAUUGUUCCACGCUAGCCAUUAGUCCGUACUUAAUCUUGUAAGCCACGCGCUGUAGUAGCUUUUUUCAAUAACAGGGGUAGAGGGACAAGCCUACCUUGUCACCCGAGGUUUAUGCAAUUUUUAGAGUUAGUUGUUUCGAGACGUUACCUCACUAAACAAAUAUUUGCUGGCAACGAUCUCGUACUUUAGGAAGAAAGUGACAGUUCCCGAUGCGGUGUUAUUAUCUGGUGGCUUCGAGAAAUCAUGUUCAUGGUCGAGCGGUUGAAUACAGUAAUGUUGCGUUAACUGGUCAGAAUUUUGCUAGCCAUUGUUAUCCCUGGCCAAUUCUUCGAACUGAUUUCGUAGUGCGAUUCUCUGGACUCUCUUGCACAAUAAUUUAUAAACUAAUAAUAUUAGUUAGUAAUAUUAAUGAAUCGACAAUUUUCAAAUUGUAAAUUGUGUGUGUGUGUGUGUGUUGUGCAUAGACUCCUUAUUUAUAUUAUUAAACUAAAUGUGUAAGAGUUUAUUUGGUUUACAAGGAAAUAUUACCAAGGUCUUUGGAAUUUUAUUUAAAAUAGUACACUAUGUGAAAAAUUACUUAAACAGUCUGAUUCUCUCUAAUUCUAUCUUUUCUUUGUUCCAAACAUCUGUUCAAAAAUAUCUCGCACUCAACAAGGAAGAGAGAUACUCGAGAUUUUGUAAAAAUAUACCUCCCUCAAUAACUGGACAGAUAAGGUCCCAACCCGUGGCCAGUUAGCGAAGCACUACUGUAGCCAUACGGGAAACAUCGUACAUCGUAAAGUGACCAUCAUAUCGUAGCGUGACGCGCGCACUAAUAAUCUAAGUUGAUGCUUACACUGGCAUGAAAUUAAUCUUGCACGCAAAGGAGGUUACCAAUAUAUAUAUAAAUAUACAUAUAUAUAUCAUAUGUCGUGUUAUCAAGAUUAUCGACAAUGUACAUGAAAUCUCGAUUAAUCGAUUGUCAUUUAACGAUGACCGUCUCCACGAAAAUCACCAAACAAUCGAAUUACAGCGAACACAAAUAAGAGAGCUGGCGAAAGGAGGCGGGGCGAUGAGGCAGGAGGGCACUAAGUAAACAUUCUGAAGAUGAUCUCGAGUCGAUGUAUAACAGUGGUGGAAACACUCGAAGAAUCAGCACCGAUAAAAGGGAUAGGUAGAUGGAAGGAGAAUGGUACCACUGGUAUAUAACGUCGAUCACGCGAGAGUUACUGCUACAACAUGCUGCAUUCCACUGGGUGUUCUCUGUGCUCGUCUCUACGCACGAGUACAUUUAUGAAUUAAUUAGAUAAUAACCAACGACAAUUAGCGUUGAAGGCACGAUACAUGAAAACACCAUCUGCUUCUGAUCUCUGCGGAAAAAUUAGCAGGCAGAAGCAACGACACGAUACCGUUUUAUAAAAUACAAUCAAUUCGUAGUAUUUGACGAAAUAAUAGCGACGCAAGAAUUCUAUUUACUGAAAUAAAAUAUGUAUUAUACGAAUGAUUUGUCAGCCGACGAGUACUAUAGUAAUUUCUUUGUCUCGAUCUAAAAUAAGGUUGAGCUCAAAAUAAUUACGAAUCAAUCGAUUUGAACAACAACGAUCGCGCAUCGUUUUUUCGAACUUCCAAUUAUAAAGCUUUCGAAAGCGUCAGGAAACGUGCAGAAACGCAGAUAACAUCGAUAAUUUAAAAUAAUCGCGAGAACAUCUGGUCCUCGUCUUCUCGGAAAUGUUAGCGGCAGCAGUAGCUUAAAAUGACUCAGAAACCAUAAAUGAGGGCUACAUCAUGAUAUUUUCUCGAUUUGUAACAGGCCAUUGUUUACGACGAUGCUAGCCCCUUCUUCAUUGUCUCAGUUUGCUUAGGACCGCGAGAUACCAGGAGUCGCGAUAAACGCAUGAACAUAAUAAUCGAGAAAGGAAGAGCAUGUUCCCUUUGCUGAAUGAAUCACAUCGUCUGACAAGAGUAUACGCUUUAAAUUAUCAUAACCUCACCGGAUUGAUAUUUUUUCUCCUUUUAUCCGCGCGUAUUUAUUAUGUCGCGAUAAGCUGUUUGGAAAAUUUAUUGAAAAGAUUAGAGCGCUAUAGAACUGCUGAACAGCAGUUCUUACGAAUUCGAAGAGACGUCGAUAUCAUUGAUAUUACAAACGAUGCAAUCCAACCUAAUCGUAUUUACUUAAUCGACUCGAGGGAAAUAGGGAAAUUAGCUACUGUUCGUAAUCGCGAUUGUUAAUCACCUAUUUCUUCCGUAUAUGAUUAUAAAGAUUAACUGUCGUGAUCCAUGUUCAUCGAUCUUUUUAAUCGUUCUUAGCAAAUUAGUAAUAAAGGCCAAAUGUGAGAAA